UACGUGGCCUUCUCAAUUGCUCCGGAGCAGCUUCAAAUCCAUAGCCCAGCAGCUCAAAAUCUCUUUCCUGAGCUGCUGACCAUGCAGCACUUGGCAAAUUAAGUUUUCUGGAUUGAACAGGAAACAAAGACCAGAGAAACACAAACCCUACUCUUCCUUCUCCCCCUCAGCCCAGCCCUGUGUCCUGCACACCCGCCCUCACACCGACUCCCUCCCCUCACUCCCGGCCAGGCAUCCCCGCGGAGCGGAGCGCCGGGACACCGGCCGGGUCAGGACAACGACCCGCGGUUGGGGGCGAGCCCGCCCUGGCAGGGCAGCGCGGCGCACCUGGCCUCGCGCCCGUAGAGGAUCCGCUUCACCUCGGCGAGCUCCCCGGGCGGGAUGUGCCGCUCCAGGCAGGACUCCAGCGACUCCAGCGACUCGGCCAUGGCGAUCUCUGAACAUUGCAGAAGGGAAGAUCAAUGCAGAAAUCAGCUGACAAUACAGGAGGGAAAUGAGGAGGCCAAGAUUUGUGGGAGAACAGACAUCCCCAGAGUCACACGAACAGGAGGAAAACAUAGCACGUGGUCCCUGGACUGAUCAUCUGCAAAACACGGGUCACCUACAGAUGUGAGAGGAGCACAAGAAUGAGUAAGUGUGGCAGGGAUGUGUGAUGGAUAACUGGGGCAUGCAGGGAUAAAGAGCUGGGAUAGCACUUGUCCCAGACACAGCUAGCCCAGAUCAAGUCCUUACCAAAUCCAAUCUCUAACUGAUCAGAUGGGUUAUUCACAGCACCCAGGGACAAUAAAGGAAUUAUUGUAGCAGAACAAGUGGUAGCAGAAGAAAAGGCACUACUUGGCAAAAGGCAAUGCUGCAACACAUCUUCCCCCAACACACUUUGCUUGAGUCAGUCUCCAGGGCAAAAGGGAGCCUGCAAAAUUUCAUAUCGAUGUUUUACUAUCUGCUUGCUCACCUUUUGCAUCUUUUGUUCCACAAUGGGAAGCAGUCACAAGCGUGUCACUCACAAACAUGUUGGCGCUCAGUUCAGUUCCUCCUGGUCCUGGACAAUCACCAGCAUCAGCUCAGUUCCAGGAACUCAAUAAAAUAAAGUCUUUUUUAAAAGCCUCCAUCAAGCCAGGCUGUGCCCUGGGAAGGCCCUCUAGCACAGCCUCCUCCUGUGUUAAUCAGAAAGAUCAGUCAAGAGCACGUACUUGCUUCCCUACCCAUCCACCUUCCCCUCCUCACCCUCACUCUGCAGGGCAUUACCAGGCACUUCAAGAAGAGAUGCAGUUAUGUGAGUAGGGUCCAUAUAGCUCCUUCAAGAGGCAUCAAAAUUCAUAUUUGU